AUGAGUUUUUUUCAGCUGUGACACAAGAAGGACACGCAGACAGUUUAGAAUCUGUUUGAUUUAAACAUGAAGCUCAACAUGAAGGUUAACAGUCUCUUCAGAUCUCACACAGGAACCGGUUCAACUCUUCUGCUCGGCUGAUUUCAGGUCGGUAACAGAAAAUAUUACACAUAAUAAAACUGGUUUGUUUACAUUUUAAA